CACCUGUGGUCCUAGCUACUCAGG
rnacentral:piRNA from 1 species